rnacentral:tRNA from 1 species
CCCCUCGUAGCUCAACUGGAUAGAGCGUUUGGCUUCGAACCAAAAGGUUGCAGGUCCGAGUCCUGCCGAGGGGA